rnacentral:rRNA from 1 species
GGCGCAGCAGGCGCGAAACCUCCGCAAUGCGGGAAACCGUGACGGGGCCACCCCGAGUGCCCCCUUACGGGGGCUUUUCCCCGCUGUAGGAAGGCGGGGGAAUAAGCGGGGGGCAAGUCUGGUGUCAGCCGCCGCGGUAAUACCAGCCCCGCGAGUGGUCGGGACGAUUAUUGGGCCUAAAGCGCCCGUAGCCGGCCCGGCAAGUCCCCUCCUAAAUUCCCGGGCUCAACCCGGGGACUGGAGGGGAUACUGCCGGGCUAGGGGGUGGGAGAGGCCGAGGGUACUCCCGGGGUAGGGGCGAAAUCCUAUAAUCCCGGGAGGACCACCAGUGGCGAAGGCGCUCGGCUGGAACACGCCCGACGGUGAGGGGCGAAAGCCGGGGGAGCGAACCGGAUUAGAUACCCGGGUAGUCCCGGCUGUAAACGAUGCGGGCUAGGUGUUGGGCGGGCUUAGAGCCCACCCAGUGCCGCAGGGAAGCCGUUAAGCCCGCCGCCUGGGGAGUACGGCCGCAAGGCUGAAACUCAAAGGAAUUGGCGGGGGAGCAC